AUUGAACGCUGGCGGCAUGCUUUACACAUGCAAGUCGAACGGCAGCGCGGGCUUCGGCCUGGCGGCGAGUGGCGCACGGGUGAGUAAUACAUCGGAACGUGCCCCGUAGUGGGGGAUAGCUCGGCGAAAGCCGGAUUAAUACCGCAUACGACCUGCGGGUGAAAGCGGGGGAUCUUCGGACCUCGCGCUAUUGGAGCGGCCGAUGGCAGAUUAGCUAGUUGGUGGGGUAAAGGCCUACCAAGGCGACGAUCUGUAGCUGGUCUGAGAGGACGACCAGCCACACUGGGACUGAGACACGGCCCAGACUCCUACGGGAGGCAGCAGUGGGGAAUUUUGGACAAUGGGCGAAAGCCUGAUCCAGCAAUGCCGCGUGUGUGAUGAAGGCCUUCGGGUUGUAAAGCACUUUUGGCGGGAACGAAAAGGACUGUGCCAAUACCACGGUUCGAUGACGGUACCCGCAGAAUAAGCACCGGCUAACUACGUG
rnacentral:rRNA from 1 species